rnacentral:rRNA from 1 species
GACGAACCGUGCGAACGUUGUUCGGAAUCACUGGGCUUAAAGGGCGCGUAGGCGGCCGGUCCAGUCCGGGGUGAAAGCCUCCAGCUUAACUGGAGAAGUGCCUUGGAUACUGACCGGCUCGAGGGAGGCAGGGGUGAUGGGAACUUCCGGUGGAGCGGUGAAAUGCGUUGAUAUCGGAAGGAACGCCGGUGGCGAAAGCGCAUCACUGGUCCUCUUCUGACGCUGAGGCGCGAAAGCCAGGGGAGCAAACGGG